rnacentral:rRNA from 1 species
GACGAACGCUGGCGGCGUGCUUAACGCAUGCAAGUCGGACGGAAAGGCCCUGCUUUUGUGGGGUGCUCGAGUGGCGAACGGGUGAGUAACACGUGAGUAACCUGCCCUUGACUUUGGGAUAACUUCAGGAAACUGGGGCUAAUACCGGAUAGGAGCUCCUGCUGCAUGGUGGGGGUUGGAAAGUUUCGGCGGUUGGGGAUGGACUCGCGGCUUAUCAGCUUGUUGGUGGGGUAGUGGCUUACCAAGGCUUUGACGGGUAGCCGGCCUGAGAGGGUGACCGGCCACAUUGGGACUGAGAUACGGCCCAGACUCCUACGGGAGGCAGCAGUGGGGAAUAUUGCACAAUGGGCGGAAGCCUGAUGCAGCAACGCCGCGUGCGGGAUGACGGCCUUCGGGUUGUAAACCGCUUUCGCCUGUGACGAAGCGUGAGUGACGGUAAUGGGUAAAGAAGCACCGGCUAACUACGUG